UGACACCAAAAAGCUCCGUUGAGGCAAAUCUUUACUGCAGAGCCUGAGCAAAGUGCUGAGGGGAUAAAUCAUGGGUGUGUGCAAUGAACAAGGGGGGACCCUGGAGCCAGAGACUGGUCAUAUGAUGAUCAAAGACAGAAAAGGAGGGUCCCCUCGCAGUCGCCGCACCCCCCUGUCCCAUCGCAGACAGCUCAGCAAGAGAAAAGACAUGAUGUUUGUGGUGGGGGGAUGGACCCAGGAGGACCCAUCUUGUUUGGUAGAGCAGUUCUGUCCUGAGUACAAUGAGUGGCGGGCUGCAGCACGCAUGGUCAACAAUCGUGGCAAAGUGGCCGUGGGCACGCUGGACGGCAUGAUCUACACAGUGGGGGGGGAGGACCACAUCCGCUGUUACAGCAGUGUGGAGAGGUAUAACCCCGACACAGACAGGUGGAGCACAGAUGUAGCACCCUUGAGCAGCCCCCGCAGCGGAUUGUGCCUGGUGGAGAUGGACGGAUACCUGUACGCCAUUGGAGGACACGAUGGCAUCGCUGCUAUUAAUACUGUGGAGAGGUAUGACCCGAGAAUGAACACAUGGAGCAAGCAGGCAGCGAUGCUGGGCAGACGUAGCGGGGGGGUGGCUGCUGUGCUGCAGGGUCAGCUGUACGUGAUGGGGGGCAAUGAUGGGGUGAUGGCUCUCAACUCAGUGGAGCGAUACAACCCUGUAGACGGUACCUGGUCGAUAUGCGCCCACAUGCUGAGUCCCAGGGAGAACGCGGGCUGCACCGUGUACCUGGGACACAUCUACGUGUCCGGAGGCAGAGACGAGCUCAACCUGGAGCUCUGCGGAGUGGAGAGGUUUGACCUGGACAACAUGAGGUGGACUCCUGUCAAACGCAUGAGGAGCAAGAGGGACAAUAUGUCCCUUGUAGUGUUCAAUGGAGCCUUGACGGCUGUUGGAGGCUCUGAUGGUGUCACCAAUCUGAAAACAAUUGAAGUGUACUGUCACGUAACCAACACAUGGAGACACUUUGGAAGCAUGAAGAGCAAGCAUCCAGGAGGCAGAGUGGCUGUGCUGUGCUGAGACUCGACAAUGCUCAUAUUAUAUGAACAGGACAGAGGUGUUAAAGAGAAAUAGCCUAAUGGAUGUACGCCUGGCUCCACAGACACAUUGUGAUAUGGUUUAAGUAAGGCUGCAUAAUGGCCGCAUAAUUGAAGAGUUCACUCUAAAAUGAGACAUCGCUGCAUUAACCAAAGCUGCAGCUGCCGGUACAAAAUGACUACACGUAAUAAAUUAGAGGACAUUAUAGGCUAGGACAUUUUCAUUAAAGUUAUGGGUCUUUUUAUGUGUCGAGCUUAAAAACAUACCCUAUUUUAGAAGGAUGAAUGAGCAGCAAAUAAGUUUCAGGUGUUAUAUGUACAGUAUUUGUCAGAGAAUUGGAUUUAGAAAUAGAUUGCACCAUAAUAAUAGCCAGACCAGCACUGGAUGUUUAAUAUAUCAGCAAAUUCAUCAGCCUUGCAAUUUAAAAAAUGUCAGAGUGCAAUGUUCAAAGUGUCAGAGUUUAAAAAUAAUCACUGGUGUUUCACAAAAUAAGAUACCACUUGAAAAUAUAUUGAUUUGCAUGUAAGAAAGUAACAUGUAUGAGCCAGAAAGAUGGAGGUGAUUGGAUUCUUUUUUGGGGUUAAAGCAGGAUUCAAGUGACAGGAUACACAAUCUUUUGAGCAUUGAGUAUUUUAGUCAAUUUCAGCCUUGAUGUUUUGUGAGGGAUAUUUUGAAGGUGAAAAACUCAGUUGGCUCUUGGAAGUGGAGAAAGCUACUGAAUAUUUUAGAAAUAUGGGCUUGUAAAGCAGCAUAAUGAUACAGAGUAAUGAUGUGAUUUAUGUGUUAUGAGCCUUUUGGAAUUACUACAAAAAAAAUUCUGUGUUUGAAAUGUAGAUGUUCAUCAUAUUUCUAUAUGUUGUAUGUACACUUAGCAUCUGGGAAUAUCUGUGCUGCUAUAAUAUUUUCAAAUAGCGCUUCAGCAUUGACUGUAAACAUAUAUCAUAUUUCAUCAUUUAGCGUGUGUAAACAUUUGCCAAAAGGCACUGCAGCAACAGAACUGGUAAGAAAAUGGGCUGGAUCAAGUUGUGGAAAAGAAAUCUGUGGGAAUGAAGAUCCUGAGUGAGAUAAACGAAUUAGUGAGAUCUGUCUGUUGGCAUGGGAAAGCAUAAGUGGCUGUGUGGGCUUUGAAAUGAUGACGCUCAGAGCUCUUUCCCCUGGAGAAUAAUGGGCUGAAAUGUGGAGAGGCUGAGCACAAGGAACGCACACAGAGCGACGCGGCUUUUCCGGAGAGACACACAACCCAGCGGUGUCUCCCUAUAGUCACUUGGCGAACACAGAAUGAAUAUUUUUUUCAAUAUGAGGGGGACGAUUGUGAGACAAAUAGCAGAGGACAGAGCUCUUGCAGAGGCAGCCAUGAACCCGCCACGCCGGACAUCAAGCCCUCCUCGCCGGACAUCAAGCCCUCCUCGCCGGACAUCAAGCCCUCCACGCCGGACAUCAAGCCCUCCACGCCGGACAUCAAGCCCUCCACGGAGACCAUCAAGUUCUCCUGAUGAUAGGCCCUCCACUGAGAGCGUGCAGAUGAACAACAGCAGCAACUCCGGCGUGAUCCUGGACAUCUCGGCUCUCAAGAUGGCGGAAGUGGACACGGAGGUGCCUCCUCUUCCACCUCGCUAUCGCUUCAGGGACUUACUGCUGGGGGACCAGACCUUUCAGAACGAU